GUGGAUUAGAUACCCUAGUAGUCCACGCUGUAAACGAUGAUCACUCGUUGUUUGCGAUACACCGCAAGUGACCAAGCGAAAGCGAUAAGUGAUCCACCUGGGGAGUACGUUCGCAAGAAUGAAACUCAAAGGAAUUGACGGGGGCCCGCACAAGCGGAGGAACAUGUGGUUUAAUUCGAUGAUACGCGAGGAACCUUACCUGUGUUUAAAUGGGGAGUGACAGGCUUGGAAACAGGCCCUUCUUCGGACACUCUUCAAGGUGCUGCAUGGUUGUCGUCAGCU
rnacentral:rRNA from 1 species